ACCCAGACCGCCAGCUAAGGUCCCAAAGUCAUAGUUAAGUGGGAAACGAUGUGGGAAGGCCCAGACAGCCAGGAUGUUGGCUUAGAAGCAGCCAUCAUUUAAAGAAAGCGUAAUAGCUCACUGGUCGAGUCGGCCUGCGCGGAAGAUGUAACGGGGCUAAACUAUGCACCGAAGCUGCGGCAGCGACACUAUGUGUUGUUGGGUAGGGGAGCGUUCUGUAAGCCUGUGAAGGUGUGUCGUGAGGCAUGCUGGAGGUAUCAGAAGUGCGAAUGCUGACAUAAGUAACGAUAAAGCGGGUGAAAAGCCCGCUCGCCGGAAGACCAAGGGUUCCUGUCCAACGUUAAUCGGGGCAGGGUGAGUCGACCCCUAAGGCGAGGCCGAAAGGCGUAGUCGAUGGGAAACGGGUUAAUAUUCCCGUACUUGGUGUUACUGCGAAGGGGGGACGGAGAAGGCUAUGUUGGCCGGGCGACGGUUGUCCCGGUUUAAGCGUGUAGGUGUGUGUUCCAGGUAAAUCCGGUU
rnacentral:rRNA from 1 species